rnacentral:hammerhead_ribozyme from 1 species
UUCCAGCUGACGAGUCCCAAGUGGGACGAAAUGCGUGUCCUGGAU